AUUGAACGCUAACGGCGUGCUUAACACAUGCAAGUCGAGCGGCAGCACAGUAGUAGCAAUACUAUGGGUGGCGAGCGGCGGACGGGUGAGUAAUACAUAGGAAUCUGCCUUAUAGUGGGGGAUAACCCGGGGAAACUCGGGCUAAUACCGCAUAAUCUCUACGGAGAAAAGUAUGGCACCUUCGGGACAUAUGCUAAAAGAUGAGCCUAUGUUGGAUUAGCUAGUUGGUAGGGUAAAGGCCUACCAAGGCAACGAUCCAUAGCUGGGCUGAGAGGAUGAUCAGCCACACUGGGACUGAGACACGGCCCAGACUCCAACGGGAGGCAGCAGUGGGGAAUAUUGGACAAUGGGCGCAAGCCUGAUCCAGCAACGCCGUGUGUGUGAAGAAGGCCUUAGGGUUGUAAAGCACUUUUAGUGGGGAAGAAAAGUUCAUGGCUAAUAUCCAUGAAUGCUGACGUUACCCACAGAAAAAGCACUGGCUAACUCUGUGCCAGCCGCCGCGGUAA
rnacentral:rRNA from 1 species